rnacentral:lncRNA from 1 species
UUCAUUUCUCAACUCGUCUUCAGAUAAAGCAAAGGACGGCAUAAGACAGACAAUAGAGGGAAGGAGUUUAAGUUGUUAUUGGUGCAUACAACACAAUGAAGAAUCAAAGCCAUGCCUCCACUGAUCACUCUAUCAGAGUGUGGUUAGAAGCUGCAUGCCUACUUCAGAUCACUACAAGAGUUCCUGUUGUCCUAUCAACUGCUGAUGAUUUUAACAUUAAGUUUUUCCAAUUGUAGUCCCGCAUGACAAAUACCGCAUGACUGGCAUCCAAA